rnacentral:rRNA from 1 species
AUUGAACGCUGGCGGCAUGCCUUACACAUGCAAGUCGAACGGUAACAGGUCUUCGGAUGCUGACGAGUGGCGAACGGGUGAGUAAUACAUCGGAACGUGCCUAGUAGUGGGGGAUAACUACUCGAAAGAGUGGCUAAUACCGCAUGAGAUCUACGGAUGAAAGCAGGGGAUCGCAAGACCUUGUGCUACUAGAGCGGCCGAUGGCAGAUUAGGUCGUUGGUGGGAUAAAAGCUUACCAAGCCGACGAUCUGUAGCUGGUCUGAGAGGAAGAUCAGCCACACUGGAACUGAGACACGGCCCAGACUCCUACGGGAGGCAGCAGUGGGGAAUUUUGGACAAUGGGCGCAAGCCUGAUCCAGAAAUGCCGCGUGCAGGAUGAAGGCCUUCGGGUUGUAAACUGCUUUUGUACGGAACGAAAAGCCCUGGGUUAAUACCCUGGGGUCAUGACGGUACCGUAAGAAUAAGCACCGGCUAACUACGUGCCAGCCGCCGACGUAACAC